rnacentral:rRNA from 1 species
UACGGAGGAUCCGAGCGUUAUCCGGAUUUAUUGGGUUUAAAGGGUGCGCAGGCGGGAGAUUAAGUCGGCGGUGAAAUUUUGCAGCUCAACUGUAAAAGUGCCUUCGAAACUGGUUUCCUUGAGUGUAGAUGAAGUAGGCGGAAUUUGUGGUGUAGCGGUGAAAUGCUUAGAUAUCACGAGGAACUCCGAUUGCGUAGGCAGCUUACUAAACUACUACUGACGCUCAGGCACGAAGGCGUGGGGAUCAAACAGGAUUAGAUACCCUGGUAGUCCCU